UACGGGGGGGGCAAGCGUUGUUCGGAAUUACUGGGCGUAAAGGGCUCGUAGGCGGCCAACUAAGUCCGACGUGAAAUCCCCAGGCUUAACCUGGGAACUGCGUCGGAUACUGGAUGGCUUGAAUCCGGGAGAGGGAUGCGGAAUUCCAGGUGUAGCGGUGAAAUGCGUAGAUAUCUGGAGGAACACCGGUGGCGAAGGCGGCAUCCUGGACCGGCAUUGACGCUGAGGAGCGAAAGCCAGGGGAGCAAAACGGGG
rnacentral:rRNA from 1 species